UGGGGAAUAUUGCGCAAUGGGGGAAACCCUGACGCAGCAACGCCGCGUGAAGGAUGAAGGUUUUCGGAUUGUAAACUUCUUUGAUGAGGGACGAAAAAAAUGACGGUACCUCAAAAACAAGCCACGGCUAACUACGUGCCAGCAGCCGCGGUAAUACGUAGGUGGCGAGCGUUAUCCGGAAUUACUGGGUGUAAAGGGCGUGUAGGCGGGUUAGUAAGUCAGAUGUGAAAUUCCGAGGCUCAACCUCGGCGCUGCAUCUGAAACUAUUGAUCUUGAGUGCUGGAGAGGAAAGCGGAAUUCCCAGUGUAGCGGUGAAAUGCGUAGAGAUUGGGAGGAACACCAGUGGCGAAGGCGGCUUUCUGGACAGUAACUGACGCUGAGGCGCGAAAGCGUGGGGAGCAAACA
rnacentral:rRNA from 1 species